GAAGUAAAGACAACUUCUUCCUGAUUGCCCACUGGGCCAGGUGUGAAUGUUCUGCAAGACCUAACCUACCCAACCAGUUUGAAUCCAAUGGAAAGCCUGUUGAUGGCCCAUCAGCAGACAAUUAAGUGGGCUGUUUGCUCCGGGCAUAUACUCAAAGUUCUUUGGCGAGAUAAGAGUGGGUGAGGUUUGCUCUGGCGGCUCAUUCUGUCCACAGCGCAUUCUUCCCCACCUUUACUCUCAUUGUUCUUGCCAGCAGAGCCUUCGCUCACUUCAGGUGGUACCUUCAGAAAUUUGAAGACUACCCCAAGUGUAGGAAGACGUUGAUAUCAUUCAUAUUACGAAGCACUACUACGAUCCAAC